CCCUUAGAUGUUCUGGGCCGCACGCGCGCUACACUGACGGAGGCAGCGAGCAUGUCCUUCGCCGAGAGGUGUGGGGAAUCUUGUGAGUCUCCGUCGUGCUGGGGAUAGAUGGUUGCAAUUGUCGAUCUUGAACGAGGAAUUCCUAGUAAGCGCAAGUCAUCAGCUUGCGUCGAUUACGUCCCUGCCCUUUGUACACACCGCCCGUCGCUCCUACCGAUUGGGUGUGCUGGUGAAAUGUUCGGAUCGGCCGUUUGUCGCGGUUUCCGCGUCAUGUGGCUGAGAAGUUCAUUAAACCCUCCCACCUAGAGGAAGGAGAAGUCGUAACA
rnacentral:rRNA from 1 species